UUAAUUUGUUCGAGAAGAUGACGAUAAAUCUUGCCAUAACAGGAGAUUCUGGAACAGGAAAAUCAUCUUUCAUCAACGCCGUGAGAGGACUUAAAGCUUACGAUGCUGGUGCAGCACCAGUUGGGAGUACAGAAACGACAAAGGAACCCACUCCAUAUUCACACCCAAAUAAUAGAAACAUCAUUUUCUGGGAUUUACCUGGCACUGUAAAAAAAUUGGUGGUUUGGAGAAGUACGAUGCAUUUCUUAUUUUUUGCCAACAACGAUUCACCAACCUUGAUAAAGAACUGGCCAAGAAAGCUUCAAAAGAGCUCAAGAAACCUUUCUUUUUUAUUCGCACCAAUGUUGACACCGAACUCAAUAAUGCGAGGGAUGACGAAGGACCAAAGUUUGAUGAAGCAUCUGCAUUGAAAAAAAUGAUGGAAGACUGUCUUUACAAUGUGAAAGAUCUGGACGACAAUAUAAAAUUCGUGUUCUUGAUCGACAACAAAAAAACAGAGAAAUAUGAUUUGAUCAUUUGAUUCGAUGUAUUACUUCAGAGUUACCAGCAUAUAAAAGAGAGUGCUUCAUUCUUUCUUUGAGUAAUGUGAUUCGUGAAAGCAUUGAACGAAAGGCUAAGUUAUUGAAAGUUCGAGCAACCGUAAUGGCAGGUGUUGCAGCUUGUGUGAGCAUUCUUCGCCUUUCUGGAG